GGAGAGGUGGCCGAGUGGUUGAAGGCAGCCGCCUGCUAAGCGGUUGUGGGGCUUAAAACCUCACCG
rnacentral:tRNA from 1 species